AAUAUUCCCCACCAAUUAAAUUGUCAGGUCAUCGCAGAUGUUUAACCGAUUGGCUUCUAACCAUUCAAACCCAUCAAAACAUCAGCUCAUUUGCAAAGGUUUCUGUUUAUCUUUCCAAUCCCUGCAGCGUAAGAGCAAAAAUAUUCACCCAAACAGCUCUAUAGUCUCUUAACUCUGACCUCAGCUGCUCAUAAACCUUCAACCUCCCUCCUCUCAGCAAUCACCGUUACGAUAUUGAGUCGUUUAUCACAACCAAUAUCCCCAUUAACACUUACUGCUACCAUUAAUUUCUUCAACGAAUAAAAUCAUCAACUAUUUGGGUUCCCCUCACCAAUUCUAUAAAAGUCGACAUAGCUAGAAAUCAUGAUCCCUAUAACAACAAGCUUCUGGUCCGAAGAGCAGAGGAAAUUUGCCGCUCAGUUCGAUCAUCCAUCAUCGACGUCGUAAGACAUCAGAUGUAUUUGAUUUUAUAUAUACUCAUUUUCAUCUAUUUUGUCACUGGAUUUGAUAGGGUGAGAUCUGUAAAGCUGUGAUCUAUCUGAAAAUUGCAUCCUAUGGGUUAUUUUCAAAAGAGAUGCAACGAUUAAGUUGAAUCGUAUGUCCGAAAAGGUAUUCACAAAAUCAUUCAAUAGCCUGCAAAGCGUUAUUGGAGUCAAGAUUAAGCUUAAUAUAAAAGAACUAGCCGUUCAGUUUGGCCGGGGAAGAGUAAUCAAAUCCGAGCAAAACAUGUUAUCUUUGUUAUCAAUUUGACACUUAUUUGACUGGACAAUCUUGAAGUAUCCACACUCUGGUUCUAGCUCAAAACCAAGAUCGAGUCUUACGCAUUAACCAGCUUUGAAUCCUCCAGUGCUAUCUGGUGAGAGACUAGAGAAACCUUCGGGUAAGCUUUUAAUUGUACUACCCGCAUGUGCAAUAAUUGUUAACAUCUUAUCCCUAGUCUAUUUGUAUACCUGUCACAUGUGUUGCUAAGUUCCUUCUUGAGGUUUUCAUCUUUGACAUUCAAGAUUUCUUUUCAUUUAGUGCCCUUUUCCUGUUGAUGUUCAUUUAAUGAGUCUAUGGUCAAUAUCAGUCCACUUUAGACACCAAAACUUUUUUUAUUUCUGUUAAAUCUCUAAUUGUAAAGUUCAUGUAAUUUUUAUGGAAUCACCAACAACACUAACAGUUUCAUGUGUUCAUGCAUGAGUCGAGUUUGCAUGUGUAAUAAUAGUUAAAGAAGAUAUGGUUAGUUUGGGGCACUUCUGUUUAUUUUUAAAAAUUCGUUUAAAGGGAAUGCAAGACGACAAUAUCAUUUUGUAACCUGCUGUUAUUCUCAUACAUUAAUUAUAUGGUCAAAUUACUCCACUGCAUCUACUGAUAGUUACAAUUUUAAAAUGCUUAACUAUGGCAUUGUCAUUAUACCUCACACAAAAAAUUCUGAAGCAAUUGUGUUACAAACAAUCUACACAAUUGUUUGAAUAAAAUGUUUCUCAUGUUUGGAUAUGAUUCUUACUAGGCAUGGGCAUUCGGGGUCCCAAUCGGGUUUCGGUUUUAUCCAAUCGGGUUUCGGUUUUUCGGGUUUAUCAAAAUCAGUUCCAUUCGGAUUAUUUGAAAGUUCGGCUCGGUACCGGUUCGGGUUCUAUCGGGUUCGGGUCGGGGUUAGUAAAUCUUCAAAGAACCGGUACAACCCAAUGUACUUUCGGGUUCGGGUCUCAAUCGGUUUUUGGGUUUAAAAAUAUCUGAUUUGUACCUAUUUUGUAACUAAAACCUAAGUAAAAUUGAUUUUUUUGGUUUCAAAUACCUAAUUUGUACCUCUUUGUAACUAAACCAUAAGUAAAAUCGAUUUAAAAUUAAGAAACAAACAUCAACCAUGAUCAUUCAAAAUUAAACGAAAGGAAAACAUAUUUAUUGAUAAAAGAAAACUAAAUAAAUAAAAUCAUAAAAUGAAAACCACGACCUCAUGAAAUAAGAAACAUUGUUUAAUGAAAACAAAAUCUAAAUCUAAAUAUUUCAAAAUUUAACAGCCACAUUUAACCAUUAACCUUCAUAUAAUAGAACCACCAACAUUUAUGUAAUACAUAAAUAUUUUAGGUGUUCAAUUAUCUUAAUGUAUUUUGAACACAUAUUAGGAAUUGAGAUCAUAUUUGGUAUAAGAUCUUUCUAGGGUUUUGAAUGUUUCGGGUUCUAUCGGAUAUCCAUUUAAAUUCGGGUUCGGUUUGGAUAAUACCCAUAACCCGAAAUACCAAAAAACAAGAUCCAUUCGGUAUUUAUGUCGGGUUUGGAUCGGUUCGGAUUCAUUUUUAUCGGAUCGGAUUCGGUUCGGAUUUUUGGGUUCGGUUUAUUUGCCCAGCCCUAAUUCUUACUACAAUCAUCUGGCUUUAGAUGAGUUGAUGAAGAAGGGAGGAAGAAGGAAAUGAAUUAAAUGAUGAAUCACAAACUUACUGGCUGUUCCAACAGAUAAUUGUGAAGGUGAUGUGUCAAGCUCUGGAAGAGACUAGAGAAAGUAUAUUAGAGCAUCUUUAUCAGCACGUCCUUAGCUUCGUCCUUAGGUGAAUUCGGCAUAGGUCCCACAGCAAAUGUCCUAGACUAUCUUCAUUUGUCCUUUUAUAAGAAACGUCCCACACUCGUCUCACACUUCUUCCUCAUUGAUUUCUCCCAUUUAACAGAAAACAAAAAGAAAAAAAUUUAAGGACUUUUAAAAGUCCUGUCUGAUAAAGAUGCUCUUAGAGCAUCUGAAUCGGUUGGGACCAAAAAAGUCCUCCAAAACUAUUUUUUUUUUAAAAAAAAUUGCUUUAAAAAAACAAAAAAACAAAAAAAAAUAAAAGUGAACAAAUGGUGGGCCACCACGUGUCAUGGGUCUCACAAAACAGGCAGAGGACGCAACAAGGACGUUCCUUAUCUAAGGAACUUUUCUCCUUUGUCCUUCAUGGUUUCGUCCUUUGUGGUCCCCCCUCCCUCCUAAAGAUGUCCUAAGGACAGCUGAUAUUUAUGCUCUUAUAAGCAAAAAGGCGGAGUGAGGAAAGUGAUUGAUAAUUGUAUACUUUAGUCAACAAUAAAAAUUAUAUUUUUAUACAUUUUAUUCCUUUUGGUGCAAAAGAAAAUCAAAAGAAUUGUAAAUUCUUAACUUUUUUGUCGACAAAAAUAUGUGUAAAUUAUAUUAAGAUUUUGGUGACUUUGAUAACAGGAGAAAUAAAAAUUGAAUAUUCUGUUAAAUUAUAGUCAUAAGCGUCAACUUAUAAUCAUAUAAAGAUAAUCUAAUAUACAAGAAGAGCAGUCUUGAACACAUCAAAAUAUAAACGAUAUGUUGUUGAGUUUGAAGAAGGAUAAAUGAGUAUCUAAAUUUUUUCAUAAGGUUAAGAAUAUGGAAGAUGUGUAACAAUAUUGUC